UACAGAGGGGGCAAGCGUUAUUCGGAAUUAUUGGGCGUAAAGGGCGCGUAGGCGGCUUGGCAAGUGGAAGGUGAAAUCCCUCGGCUUAACCGAGGAACUGCCUUCCAAACUGCUUGGCUUGAGUCCGGGAGAGGUGAGUGGAAUUCCCAGUGUAGCGGUGAAAUGCGUAGAUAUUGGGAGGAACACCAGUGGCGAAGGCGGCUCACUGGACCGGAACUGACGCUGAUGCGCGAAAGCGUGGGGAGCAAACGGG
rnacentral:rRNA from 1 species